UUGACCUCAAAUCAGGUAGGACUACCCGCUGAACUUAAGCAUAUCAAUAAGCGGAGGAAAAGAAACUAACAAGGAUUCCCCUAGUAACUGCGAGUGAACCGGGAAAAGCUCAAAUUUUGAAUCUGGCGGUCUUCAGGCCGUCCGA
rnacentral:rRNA from 1 species